AGAGUUUGAUCCUGGCUCAGGAUGAACGCUGGCGGUAUGCUUAACACAUGCAAGUCGAACGGUCUCUUCGGAGAUAGUGGCGGACGGGUGAGUAACGCGUGAGAAUCUGGCUCUAGGUCUGGGACAACCACUGGAAACGGUGGCUAAUACCGGGUGUGCCGAAAGGUGAAAGGUUAACUGCCUGGAGAUGAGCUCGCGUCUGAUUAGCUAGUUGGUAGGGUAAAAGCUUACCAAGGCGACGAUCAGUAGCUGGUCUGAGAGGACGAUCAGCCACACUGGGACUGAGACACGGCCCAGACUCCUACGGGAGGCAGCAGUGGGGAAUUUUCCGCAAUGGGCGAAAGCCUGACGGAGCAAUACCGCGUGAGGGAGGAAGGCUCUUGGGUUGUAAACCUCUUUUCUCAGGGAAGAAAAAUGACGGUACUUGAGGAAUAAGCAUCGGCUAACUCCGUGCCAGCAGCCGCGGUAAUACGGAGGAUGCAAGCGUUAUCCGGAAUGAUUGGGCGUAAAGCGUUCGCAGGUGGCAUUGAAAGUCUGCUGUUAAAGAGUUUGGCUUAACCAAAUAUAGGCAGUGGAAACUUCAAAGCUAGAGUGCGGUAGGGGCAGAGGGAAUUCCUGGUGUAGCGGUGAAAUGCGUAGAGUUCAGGAAGAACACCGGUGGCGAAAGCGCUCUGCUAGGCCGUAACUGACACUGAGGGACGAAAGCUAGGGGAGCGAAUGGGAUUAGAUACCCCAGUAGUCCUAGCCGUAAACGAUGGAUACUAGGCGUUGCUUGUAUCGACCCGAGCAGUGCCGUAGCUAACGCGUUAAGUAUCCCGCCUGGGGAGUACGCACGCAAGUGUGAAACUCAAAGGAAUUGACGGGGGCCCGCACAAGCGGUGGAGUAUGUGGUUUAAUUCGAUGCAACGCGAAGAACCUUACCAAGGCUUGACAUGUCCGGAAUCUCUGUGAAAGUAGAGAGUGCCUUCGGGAGCCGGAACACAGGUGGUGCAUGGCUGUCGUCAGCUCGUGUCGUGAGGUGUUGGGUUAAGUCCCGCAACGAGCGCAACCCCCGUUUUUAGUUGCCAGCAUUAAGUUGGGCACUCUAGAGAGACUGCCGGUGACAAACCGGAGGAAGGUGGGGAUGACGUCAAGUCAGCAUGCCCCUUACGUCUUGGGCUACACACGUACUACAAUGCGAUGGACAAAGGGCAGCAAGCUAGCAAUAGCAAGCAAAUCUCGGAAACCAUCGCUCAGUUCAGAUCGAAGGCUGCAACUCGCCUUCGUGAAGUCGGAAUCGCUAGUAAUUGCAGGUCAGCAUACUGCAGUGAAUUCGUUCCCGGGCCUUGUAC
rnacentral:rRNA from 1 species